rnacentral:misc_RNA from 1 species
AAGUCGUAACAAGGUUUCCGUAGGUGAACCUGCGGAAGGAUCAUUAGUGAACGCCUCCGGGCUUAUCCAACCAACCUCUGUGAACCGUGGCCCCCCGGGCCUUACCAAAAAAACAAAAACAAAAAAACAUCAGUGUCCUGAACGUCAUAAUCUGUAAUCAGUAAAACUUUCAACAACGGAUCUCUUGGCUCUC